rnacentral:rRNA from 1 species
AUCAACGCUGGCGGCGUGCCUCAGACAUGCAAGUCGAACGCGAAAGUUUCCUUCGGGAGACAAGUAGAGUGGCGCACGGGUGAGUAACACGUAGGUAAUCUACCUUUGGAUGGGGAAUAACAACCGGAUACGGUUGCUAAUACCGCAUAAUGCAGCGGCACCUAAUGGUGACAGUUGUUAAAGCGGGGGAUCGAAAGACCUCGCGUCUGAAGAGGAGCCUGCGGCGGAUUAGCAGUUGGUAAGGUAAUGGCUUACCAAGGCUACGAUCCGUAACCGGCCUGAGAGGGCGGUCGGUCACACUGACACUGACAUACGGGUCAGACUCCUACGGGAGGCAGCAGUCGGGAAUUUUGGGCAAUGGGCGAAAGCCUGACCCAGCAACGCCGCGUGAAGGAUGAAAUCCCUCGGGAU